AGGAGCCUGGAUUGCAGACUCAGGUUCUAGGCUUCUAAAUUCAUCCUUCUUUCCAUUGUUCUAUGCUGCCUUCUUAGAGGGCUACAGCCUUAAUAUGUAUCAACGUUGUGAUCAUGACAGUCCAAAGAGAAAGUGUUUAUCUUAUCUUCACAAUGUAUCUCUCUUAAAUUUUUCAUGUUCUCACUACUCUCAUAGGGAAGAAAGGGAAAAGACAUUUAUCAAACCCCUACUAUGUCUAAGGCAGUGUGCUAAGCUCUUUUGGCAAACAACUCAGAAAGGUUUAAUACCCCCCAGCUCCUUCAAUAUUUCUUUGCUUUAUUAUACAAGUAAUGGCAAAAUAAGAACCAUCUCAGCAGAUGGGCUAAACCAGGUCAAGGACAACUGAGAGAGCUCAAACCCUUCUGUGAGUCAGUGAUGUCUACCCCAAGCACAUAAAGACUUGUGGAAUGGGAAGAAGGGAACUAUUUAUUCCAUUGGCCAUGAAAGUGGCUGAACAUAUGCUGUGGAAGGCUAGAGCUUGAUCAGACAUCAAAGAUGCCAAGGAAUCCACUGAAUCCCAGGCCAUUGCCAGUCAUCUUGAUUUGUCUUGCCCCUGGACUUCGAUGACUCUGGAAGAAAGAAUGAGACUGAGGACUUUGGGCAACUUUGCUAACUUAAAUCCAAUUCAUUUACAAGUCAAGAUAUCACCCUGUUGUGCCAUUGG
rnacentral:lncRNA from 1 species